AACGAACGCUGGCGGCGUGGAUAAGACAUGCAAGUCGAACGAGAAAACUGAAUAGCUUGCUAAUUGGUUUUCUAGUGGCGGACGGGUGCGUAACACGUGAGCUACUUGCCCUAAAGUGGGGGAUAGCCCUCCGAAAGGAGGAUUAAUACCGCAUGUGGUCUUCGGAUCAAAGACGGCUUCGGCUGUCGCUUUAGGAUAGGCUCGCGGCCCAUCAGCUUGUUGGUAAGGUAACGGCUUACCAAGGCUACGACGGGUACCUGGUCUGAGAGGACGAUCAGGCACACUGGAACUGAGACACGGUCCAGACACCUACGGGUGGCAGCAGUCGAGAAUCAUUCACAAUGGGGGAAACCCUGAUGGUGCAACGCCGCGUGGAGGAUGACGGCCCUCGGGUUGUAAACUCCUGUCAUCUGGGAGUAAGCCUUGUUCGUUAAUAGCGUGCAAGGUUGAUAGUACCAGAAGAGGAAGGGACGGCUAACUUCG
rnacentral:rRNA from 1 species